UACGUAGGGUGCAAGCGUUGUCCGGAAUUAUUGGGCGUAAAGAGCUCGUAGGCGGUCUGUCGCGUCGGUCGUGAAAACUUGGGGCUUAACCCUGAGCUUGCGGUCGAUACGGGCAUGACUGGAGUUCGGCAGGGGAGACUGGAAUUCCUGGUGUAGCGGUGAAAUGCGCAGAUAUCAGGAGGAACACCGGUGGCGAAGGCGGGUCUCUGGGCCGAUACUGACGCUGAGACGCGAAAGCGUGGGGAGCAAACAGG
rnacentral:rRNA from 1 species